AUGGAGGGACAACUGCAAGGGGGCUGCAGCAACGUCGCGACAAUGCAUGUGAAAACAGAAGCGGUCGAUGAGAAUACAUCUGCGCUGGUUUUGGGCAGUCGAGGGUCGCCUGCGCCCUGCGGAGAUACCGCAUGCAGAGCAGGAGUGGAUCAGACUGCAGAGGAGCUGGCUGACACGACAACUACUCCUGUACUGCUGUACCCCGUGAGUACAGACCGCUUCUUCACCACAUCAGGGGAUGGAAAGACGUACCUGAAGAUAGCUCCAGCUUCAGCCAUGCCACCUACUCCCUCAGAGAAGACGCUUCCCUCCGGCUCUGAUUUCUCCUCCAAAGCUGUUCUGUGUCUGAUAGAGGCGGUCGGGCGCCGCUGGGGCCUCUACGAGACUCGAGAACGCUCACAGCUCUUCCAGAGUGUCCAGGAGGAGAUGGCCUCCAAGGGACACGUGCUUCCUGUCGAAAAGAUCCGCCGCAAGUGGAACAACCUCAUUGUUACAUACAAGAGGGUUAAAGACCGCAGCCGGGAGACGGGACACGCUAAAACGUCAUGGGAGUUCUUCGAUUUGAUGGACGCCACACUCUGUGACACCUGUUGGCACUCAGAUCGUCAACAACAAAAGAAACAAAGGCGGGAACACUGUUUCCACACUGCCUGGUCCUUUGGCAAAGAUAGCUGCGAAACCACAGGCCACCACCAUCAUCCGCCCUAAUGGGGACUUUGCUUCGAGUGGUGGUGUGGACUCAUUGAGUCAGGGAGCCAUCAGCAAUCAAAUCAUCAGUAGCGGUGCCGCCAUUACCUCAAUGACUACAGCCACCAUUAACCCGACAAAUGCUCCAGAGCUCAAGCCCCUGAUCGUCCUCAACAGUGACAUUGUUACAACCAGUAUUCAUCCAGCCACCAUUGUGCCAUCUCCAUCUUUUAUCUCUUCGCCUUGUUUUACCGAGACAGCUUCUACUUCCCCUUCCCUUGGCUCGACUAGCAACACAGACCUCAAUACAUCACGUUACAUAGGCCGAAAAGCUCCAUCGUUCUCAUCAGGCGUCAUACCCUUUCGCCUUAGCAAUGCACCACUUAACAACAACCAGAAUCUCCUCGGCCUGUCCUCCUCUUUUCCCCCUACUUCCUCCUCUCUCACUUCUUCCAUUCCCCACGCAUUAUCUGCUAUGACCAUGUCCGGAACCGAAGGGCAGAACCAGAAGGGAAACGAGGAGGCAAGCAGCGGCCCUUUGUUCCAGGAGAUUCUGAAGCGACAGGAGGAGCAGGCCUACCUGGAUCGAGUGGCUCGCCGCAGGGUGGAAGCCAGAGAGAAGAGGCGCGAGAGGAGGGAGGUACGGAUGGCAGAGUCCCUCGGCAGGAUAACCACAGCCCUGGAGCUGCUCUCCUCCAAACAGGACACGGUCAUUGCCCUCCUGCAGAGACUGGCUGAUCGGAAGUGAUGGAGGGCGAAAUAUCUGGAAAGCAGGGGCUCUGUAACCCUGAGAUCACGCUUAUUAUAAACUUCUUAAUACUCCAGACACGUAGUGACCAAGCCCGAGUUCCAUAAUGCUACUGAUUUUACUUCCCUGAGCUUAAUGUAAAUAAAAUUUUAUAAAAUCACAUGAGCUGCUCACUUUUCUAUAUUAAAGGCUAACUUCGGUAUUUUUCAACCUGGACCCUACUUCCAUGGUUGUAUCAAGACAACUAUUUUUUUAAUUGGUCAUGCAUUGAGCGAGAGCGCUGCAGCUGCGAAACUGGCUGCAAUGUAAUCUCUCUAAAGUCUCUGUACGUUCACUAAAAGAAUCAGAGUCAUAUUUAUUGCCAUGUAGCUUUUCACCUACAAGGAAUGUGCUGUGGUUAGUUGGUGCUAAUCGUCAAAAAUAUAAAAAAAUAACAAUAUAUACAAAAUACAGACAGUAGGUACAAAAUAUAGACAGUAGACAAUGUACAAUAUACAAUAUAAGCAUUACAUUAAUGUGACAUGUAGAGGGGGGGGGGAGGGGAGAGACUGUUGAUGAGGUCAACUGCAGAGGGGGAGAAACUGAUCUCAUGGCAUGAAGUUUUGCUCCUGAUGGACCUCAGCCUCCUGCCGGUUGGGAGCAAAAGAAGUGCAUGUUUUUUUCCACUGAUGGGCUCAGAUUGUUAUUAUAAGUGUCUGACACCAUUAUGGAAAGGACCUUACAGAGAAAUAUAACGUUUUUCUGUAACUUUCACUUUAUCCAGUCUGUUUGUUAGAGAAGACUCGUUCUGAAAUCUCGCGUCGCAUCCACAUUGUCGAAACCAACUAAAUAUUCAGCCAUGACAUUGAAAUUAUUUUAGAUAACACGAAGCUACGCUUUCGGUACUCCAAUACAAAACAAUUAUUUUAGUGGACGUACAUUGACCCGAGAGAUUACCUUGCAGCCUGUUAAGCGUCUGCAGCGCUCUCGCUCAAUGCUGGACCAAUUUCAAGAACAGUUUCCCCAUUAGUCACCUAGACACAAAAACAUGGGGAAAUAGAAAACAGAAAUGAACAUUUUAGCAUAAGUUAAAUGGGGUGCUAUUGUUACUUGCAUUACAGUAUAAUAAAAUAUUAUACAAUCAUUCUCCUUGAACCUUCAGUUAAUUCAAUUUUGUUUCAGUGGUUUAGUAAAAGAAAUGAUAAUUGCUAUGAGGCCUCAUGAAAAGAUGCUUAAAUGAUGUCACC
rnacentral:lncRNA from 1 species